rnacentral:rRNA from 1 species
AUUGAACGCUGGCGGAAUGCUUUACACAUGCAAGUCGAACGGCAGCACGGGAGCUUGCUCCUGGUGGCGAGUGGCGAACGGGUGAGUAACAUAUCGGAACGUACCCAGUCGUGGGGGAUAACUAUCCGAAAGGAUAGCUAAUACCGCAUACGUCCUGAGGGAGAAAGCGGGGGAUCGCAAGACCUCGCGCGAUUGGAGCGGCCGAUAUCGGAUUAGCUAGUUGGUGGGGUAACGGCUCACCAAGGCGACGAUCAGUAGCUGGUCUGAGAGGAUGAUCAGCCACACUGGAACUGAGACACGGUCCAGACUCCUACGGGAGGCAGCAGUGGGGAAUAUUGGACAAUGGGCGCAAGCCUGAUCCAGCAAUGCCGCGUGGGUGAUGAAGGCCUUCGGGUUGUAAAGCCCUUUGGCGGGGACGAUGAUGACGGUACCCGCCGAAUAAGCUCCGGCUAACUCCGUGCCAGCAGCCGCGGUAAU